AGAGUUUGAUCCUGGCUCAGGACGAACGCUGGCGGCGUGCCUAACACAUGCAAGUCGAGCGAUGAAGCCCUUCGGGGUGGAUUAGCGGCGGACGGGUGAGUAACACGUGGGUAACCUGCCUCAAAGAGGGGGAUAGCCUCCCGAAAGGGAGAUUAAUACCGCAUAACAUUAUUUCUUCGCAUGAAGAGAUAAUCAAAGGAGUAAUCCGCUUUGAGAUGGACCCGCGGCACAUUAGCUAGUUGGUGAGGUAAUGGCUCACCAAGGCAACGAUGCGUAGCCGACCUGAGAGGGUGAUCGGCCACAUUGGAACUGAGACACGGUCCAGACUCCUACGGGAGGCAGCGGUGGGGAAUAUUGCGCAAUGGGGGAAACCCUGACGCAGCAACGCCGCGUGGGUGAAGAAGGCCUUCGGGUUGUAAAGCUCUGUCUUCUGGGACGAUAAUGACGGUACCAGAGGAGGAAGCCACGGCUAACUACGUGCCAGCAGCCGCGGUAAUACGUAGGUGGCAAGCGUUGUCCGGAUUUACUGGGCGUAAAGGGAGCGUAGGCGGAUAUUUAAGUCAGAUGUGAAAUACCCGAGCUUAACUUGGGUGCUGCAUUUGAAACUGGAUAUCUGGAGUGCAGGAGAGGAAAGUGGAAUUCCUAGUGUAGCGGUGAAAUGCGUAGAGAUUAGGAAGAACACCAGUGGCGAAGGCGACUUUCUGGACUGUAACUGACGCUGAGGCUCGAAAGCGUGGGGAGCAAACAGGAUUAGAUACCCUGGUAGUCCACGCCGUAAACGAUGAGUACUAGGUGUAGGGGGUAUUGACUCCCUCUGUGCCGCAGUUAACACAAUAAGUACUCCGCCUGGGAAGUACGAUCGCAAGAUUAAAACUCAAAUGAAUUGACGG
rnacentral:rRNA from 1 species